CGGCCGCGUCGACGUUUGAUCCUGGCUCAGAGUGAACGCUGGCGGUAGGCCUAACACAUGCAAGUCGAACGGCAGCACAGGAGAGCUUGCUCUCUGGGUGGCGAGUGGCGGACGGGUGAGGAAUACAUCGGAAUCUACUCUGUCGUGGGGAGUAACGUAGGGAACGUUACGUUAAUACGCAUACGACCUACGGUGAAGACAGGGGAGUCUUCGGUACCGUUCGUCGCGAUUGUAAUGAGCCGAUGUCGGAUUAUCUAGUUGGUCGGGGUAAAGGACCCGACCAAGGCGACGAUCCGUAGCUGGUCUGAGAGGAUGAUCAGCCACACUGGAACUGAGACACGGUCCAGACUCCUAUGGGAGGCAGCAGUGGGGAAGUAUUGGA
rnacentral:rRNA from 1 species